rnacentral:misc_RNA from 1 species
GAUGAAGAACGCAGCGAAAUGCGAUAAGUAGUGUGAAUUGCAGAAUUCAGUGAAUCAUCGAAUCUUUGAACGCACAUUGCGCCCUUUGGUAUUCCUUAGGGCAUGCCUGUUCGAGUGUCAUUUAAACCUUCAAGCUCAGCUUGGUGUUGGGUGACUGUCCGCUUCACCGCGGACUCGCCUCAAAAUUAUUGGCGGCCGGUACAUUGGCUUCGAGCGCAGCAGAAACGCGAACUCGGGCCCGUCGUAUUGGCUCCCAGAAGCUAUCUUCACAAUUUUGACCUCGGAUCAGGUAGGGAUACCCGCUGAACUUAAGCAUAUCAAUAAGCGGAGGA